CUGCUGGGAAAGCUAAUGUGUAUUGUCCAAAACAAUAUAAGCAGAGAACAAACCAUCAUCCACCUUAUAAGAUGUGCAGGUAAUAUUUCUGACCACUGUGUUGUGACUGUGGCCGUGGUAGGAAGCAUUGCCAUUCUACUCAUUCUGGCUGUGUUUCUUGGUGUCCGGAAAUUCCAAAAGACCGGCACUAUGACUGUUAAUGAAGAUGAUGCUGAAGUGGAUGUUGUCUACUCAGAGGUUAGACUGAAGCAGGAUGGAAGAGAAACAAGAGAAACACCACCUAUUUCAAAUCAAGAUGAAAGUUAACGUUGACUUUUGGUCAAGUAGCUAAUAAAACUGUUAAGUGACGGCUGUGUGCAGACAGGAAUAGGACCCAAGUUGCAGACUCCAGAGACAAACUUAAACCGAAACAGCUUUAAUGCUGAAC